rnacentral:rRNA from 1 species
AGUGAACGCUGGCGGUAGGCCUAACACAUGCAAGUCGAACGGCAGCACAGUAAGAGCUUGCUCUUACGGGUGGCGAGUGGCGGACGGGUGAGGAAUACAUCGGAAUCUACUUUUUCGUGGGGGAUAACGUAGGGAAACUUACGCUAAUACCGCAUACGACCUACGGGUGAAAGCAGGGGAUCUUCGGACCUUGCGCGAUUGAAUGAGCCGAUGUCGGAUUAGCUAGUUGGCUGGGUAAAGGCCCACCAAGGCGACGAUCCGUAGCUGGUCUGAGAGGAUGAUCAGCCACACUGGAACUGAGACACGGUCCAGACUCCUACGGGAGGCAGCAGUGGGGAAUAUUGGACAAUGGGCGCAAGCCUGAUCCAGCCAUACCGCAUGGGUGAAGAAGGCCUUCGGGUUGUAAAGCCCUUUUGUUGGGAAAGAAAAGCAGCAGGUUAAUACCCCGCUGUUCUGACGGUACCCAAAGAAUAAGCACCGGCUAACUUCGUG